AACAGGAAGGAAAGGGGCGGCUUUUGGAAGGGCGCCGGACGGAAGUCGCCUGUGGUGGCGGCACGGCUGCCGCCGUCAUGAGUCGCCUCAGUCGUAUGCAGAAACAGAUUCUGAGCUUAUACCGUGAGCUGCUGCGGGCCGGUCGCGGGAAACCGGGCGCGGAGGCGCGGGUCCGGGCGGAGUUCCGGCAGCACGCCGGCCUCCCGCGCUCCGACGUGCUGCGCAUCGAGUACCUGUACCGCCGCGGACGCCGGCAGCUGCAGCUGCUGCGCUCGAGCCACGCCACCGCCAUGGGCGCCUUCGUGCGCCCUCGGGGCCCGGUCGAGGAGCAGGACGACGCCACCGCCGCCGGAGCCCCCGGGACCCCGCCUGACCACGUUCACAGACCGAGGGAACCUCACGACCACACGGGGGCACCCGAGACCGGUGACCGGCGAAGGAGUCCCCCUCUCGGUGGCGCCCGGGGUGCGGCCUGAUAGUUUGGGGGAAGACUGGAAACUCACCUGAUGGAAGUGCUGGGGAUGGAACCCAGGGCCUUGCACAUGCAUUCUACCACCGAGCUAUAUCCCCAGCCCCAAGGUGACCACCCUGUUAAUGCUAUGCUGGCUCCAUCUCAAGCUGAUCAUACCUGUCCCACUCCCAUGCCCCUCUGCCUUAAGCAAAAAAGCUAAGGGACAGCACCCAGGCCCUGAGUUCAGACCCCAGUACCAACACAUACACAAAAGACCAACAGCAACAACUAAAUAAAUAAAAAUUGACCAAGGAAACAAAGUUUUGUGGUGUGGAAUUUUCCACUUGUGGCAUAGUGUUUGUUGUGCAGAAAGUUCCAGAACUUAGAACAUUUCAGAUUACUGAUGAUCAGUAUCUCAUGGUUCAUCCUUAUCUUUGCUUGUUUGUUUGUUUGUUUUGUUUUGUUUUCCAGUCCUCAGGCUUGAACUCAGGGCUUGGGCACUCUCAGCCUCUGUGCUCAAGGCUAGUGCUCUACCACUUGAGCCACAACUAUACUUCCUACAUAAAAGUCUUAAUGAGAAGUUGGACAGCACACCUGUAGUAACUCUAACACUGUGGAGGCAAACGCAUCAGGAGACUCAGGAGGCAGGGCGUGCAAGGUCGGCCCCAGCUGCAUAGCAAGAUUCUGUCUCAAAAGCAAACAGAAAACCUCUUAUGUAUAUUUUCUCAGAAUUUGUAAUUAGAUAAAACCUGCUUUCUGGAAAACAUUUGGCCUUUUUUACAGAUCUGAUCACCCCACUGGAAGGCACAGAAUAUCUUAUCUCUUUUUC